UUGUUGAUAGCUCAGUCGGUAGAGCACGAGACUCUUAAUCUCAAGGUCAUGGGUUUGAGCCCCAUAUUGGGCAAA